CCUACGGGUGACAGCAGUGAGGAAUAUUGGUCAAUGGGCGAGAGCCUGAACCAGCCAAGUCGCGUGAAGGAUGAAGGAUCUAUGGUUUGUAAACUUCUUUUAUAUGGGAAUAAAGUGAGGAACGUGUUCCUUUUUGUAUGUACCAUAUGAAUAAGCAUAGGCUAACUCCGUGCCAGCAGCCGCGGUAAUACGGAGGAUGCGAGCGUUAUCCGGAUUUAUUGGGUUUAAAGGGUGCGUAGGUGGUUAAUUAAGUCAGCGGUGAAAGUUUGUGGCUCAACCAUAAAAGUGCCGUUGAAACUGGGUGACCUGAGUGUAUAUGAGGUAAGCGGAAAUCCUUGUGUAGCCGGGAAA
rnacentral:rRNA from 1 species